rnacentral:lncRNA from 1 species
AUGCCCGUUCCCAGCCCGCUGAGGGCAGGCCAAGCACGCAGAGGAUGCGCCAGGUGGCCAACAGGCAGCCCGAGGAAGCGCCUCAGGGCAGCCCGAGCCAGGCCUCGUCCCACCAUGGGAUCACGCUGCCACGGGUGCCCUACCCGGAGAGGUUUCAGCCUGUCGUCAACCAGCAGGCACAGGUGGGCAGCCUGGGGCACCGAGUGGUGCUGCCCUGCACCAGUGGGUCAACACAGGAGCAAACACCCCGUCUGCCAUCAUUGGUGGCAAUCGCACCCCGGCCACCACCUCAUUCAGCAAGAGCAGCUGUCAGCUACUGCGGGCUGCAACAUGUUCCACCAGCAGCCUCUCCACCUUCUGGCAGUGUCAGCGACUGGGCCAUCGGCAGCUCAAGCAGCAGUCAGUGUGCCCGAGAGGUCCACAGCCUCUGCCCCGACAAGUAAGACCUCAGACAUCAUGAGUGCAGUCGUGCGCAGGUACAGCACUGGGAGCCAGGGACCCUGGCAGCAGCCAGCAGCAUGGCAGAACCCAGCACAAAGCAGGGCUGCAGGGACACAAACAAGAAGAGACACUGUCCGGGUGGCCAACACCAGCAAGGCCCCAGCCACUCAGCCCUCACUGCGGAAUGCUGGGCGAGCAGCAGAGCAUGUGCCAGCAAUGCCGGCGGCUGGCAGCAAGGGCAGCCUCAACAGCAAGUCCCUGGGGCUGCACCAGAAGGUGUUUCCCCAGCGCCUGCCCCCACUGCCCAGCAAGAUCAAGCCUUCAGAGCAGCCAAAGAAGAGCUGCCUGGCAAGAGCUCAUGAGAAGCACCAGGCACCUCUCCCUCCAGUGGCACUGGCACGAGCGUCCCCUGACUUUGGCAAGCAGGCACCAGCACAGGCACGGAGACAGGCACCUGCCCCGCAGAGCACCAAAGUCAUGGAUGCAGCUCUGCAGGUGACAGCCGUGCGCAGAGGGAGGAAUCGUCUGGUCCAGUCUGUGGCUGUGGUCCAGGGAACCAACCAGCAGCGAGUAGAACACCAGGACAUGGCCCAACGUGAGGAUGUGGCAAUGGCAGCACUGUCCCAUGCAGAAGCAAAGGACAUAGAGUCUCCUGUGGCUGCAGGACCUCAGGGACAGGCCAGCAAAGCCCCUCUUGUCCCAGCAGCAGGCGAGGCUGGAAAAGAUGUGGUGUCUCCCAUGUUGGGAGACCAUCAAGAACAGGACAGCAGAGCCAUUGUCUCCUCAGAAGCACACAAGGUGGAAGUGGCAGCUUCAUUGCCUGACAUCGCUGUGGCAGAUGCUGGAACAUCCCAUCUGCAGAUGGACCUGCAGAGUGUGUCUCCUGCCCCAGACGGUCCAGCAGACAACGAGCCUGCAGCUGCUAGCCCGGCUGGAGCUGCUGAGGAAGAGCAGCACCGCGCAGCUCUCGCUGCCGUAGCAGAAGAGGAGGAGGAAGCAGCACCACCAGCUUCCCAUGGCUUUGAUGAGCUGGAGGCAGAAGCAGAGGUGCAAAGAAAGGCAUUUGCCCUGCUCAGCCCCACAGCCUCUGAGCUGGUUCGGCAUGAAAUAGCCAGGCGCUUUGUGAGUGGCAUCAUGUGCAAGGCUUUGGCUGUAAUCCAGGAAAUGGAUGAGCAGCCUCAGGAACACCAGGAGAUUGACAAAAGCCAAGUGGACGUGUCAAAGGGAGCAAUGAAGCCUGCAGCACUUGAGGACAUUGAGUCUCCUGUGGCUGUAGAGCCUCAGGCAGAGCCCAGCACAGCCCCUCUCAUCCCAGAGGCAGGCGAGCUUGGAGAAGACAUGGUGUCUCCCAUGUCUGGAGAACACCAAGAAGGGACCAAAACAGUAGAUGUCAGCCCAGCUGCAGAGGAAGAGGAGCACCGUGCAGCUCUUGCUGCUGUGGCACAACAAGACGAGAAGGCACUGGCACCAGCUUCCCACGUGUUUGACGAGCAGGAGGCAGAAGCAGAGGCCCGGAGGAAGGCAUUUGCUCUGCUCAGCCCCACAGCCUCUGAGCUGGUUCGGCAUGAAAUAGCCAGGCGCUUUGUGAGUGGCAUCGUGUGCAAGGCUUUGGCUGUCAUCCAGGAAAUGGAUGAGCAGCGUCUUGAACAGGAGGACAUGGCCCAAAGCCAUGUGGAUGUGUCCAUGGCACCAAUGACGCCUGCAACAGUUCAGGACCCAGAGUCUUCUGUGGCUGUAGAGCCUCAGGCAGAGCCCAGCUCAGCUCCUCUCAUCCUAGUGGCAGAACAUGAGGAAAAGGUGUCAACUUCAUUGCCUGAGAUCCCUGUGGCAGACGCUGGAACACCCCAUCUUGCUCCUGGAGCAGACGAUGAAGGAGAAGCAGCAGCUUCUC